AACGGGUGGUAAUGCCGGAUGUUCCACAUGAUCGCAUGUGAUUGUGGGAAAGAUUCUAUCGGCGUGGGAUGGGGUCGCGUCCUAUCAGCUUGUUGGUGAGGUAACGGCUCACCAAGGCUUCGACGGGUAGCCGGCCUGAGAGGGCGACCGGCCACAUUGGGACUGAGAUACGGCCCAGACUCCUACGGGAGGCAGCAGUGGGGAAUAUUGCACAAUGGGCGCAAGCCUGAUGCAGCGACGCCGCGUGAGGGAUGGAGGCCUUCGGGUUGUAAACCUCUUUUGUUUGGGAGCAAGCCUUCGGGUGAGUGUACCUUUCGAAUAAGCGCCGGCUAACUACGUGCCAGCAGCCGCGGUAAUACGUAGGGCGCAAGCGUUAUCCGGAUUUAUUGGGCGUAAAGGGCUCGUAGGCGGCUCGUCGCGUCCGGUGUGAAAGUCCAUCGCUUAACGGUGGAUCUGCGCCGGGUACGGGCGGGCUGGAGUGCGGUAGGGGAGACUGGAAUUCCCGGUGUAACGGUGGAAUGUGUAGAUAUCGAAAAAAAACACCACCCC
rnacentral:rRNA from 1 species